rnacentral:rRNA from 1 species
UACAGAGGGGGCAAGCGUUAUUCGGAAUUAUUGGGCGUAAAGGGCGCGUAGGCGGUCCUUCAAGUCUCUCGUGAAAUCCCUCGGCUUAACUGAGGACGUGCGGGAGAUACUGCUGGGCUUGAGUCCGGAAGAGGGUGGUGGAAUUCCCAGUGUAGCGGUGAAAUGCGUAGAUAUUGGGGAGGAACACCGGUGGCGAAGGCGGCCACCUGGGCCGGAACUGACGCUGAGGCGCGAAAGCGUGGGGAGCAAACGGG